rnacentral:pre_miRNA from 1 species
ACUAGUUUUCGUGUUCAACGUUUGACCAUUCGUCUUAUUUAAAAAAAUUAUGAAAAAAAAUUAAAAAGACAAGUCACGCAUAAAAUAUUAAUCAUAUUUUAUCAUCUAACAAUAAUGAAAAUAUAAAUUAUAAAAAAAUUACAUAUAAGACGAACAGUCAAAGUUGGACACGGAAACCCAGAGUUUGUUUUUUU